CCCCCUGAAUUUAAGCAUAUUAAUGAGGGGAGGAAAAGAAACUAACAAGGAUUUUCUUAGUAGCGGCGAGCGAAAAGAAAAUAGUUCAGCACUAAGUCACUUUGUCUUUAUGGCAAAUGUGAGAUGCAGUGUAUGGAAUGUCAAAUUUCUAGUAUGAGAAAUUAACGAUUUAAGUCCUUCUUAAAUGAGGCCAUUUACCCAAAGAGGGUGCCAGGCCCGUAUAACGUUAAUGAUUACUAGAUGGCAUUUCCAAAGAGUCGUGUUGCUUGAUAGUGCAGCACUAAGUGGGUGGUAAACUCCAUCUAAAACUAAAUAUAACCAUGAGACCGAUAGUAAACAAGUACCGUGAGGGAAAGUUGAAAAGAACUCUGAAUAGAGAGUUAAAUAGUACGUGAAACUGCUUAGAGGUUAAGCCCGAUGAACCUGAAUAUCCGAUAUGGAAAAUUCAUCAUUAAGAUUUUAAUAUUUAUAAUAUUAUAAUAAUGGUGUGCAUUUUUUCUAUAAAGGACAUUGUAAUCUAUUAACAGUUUAUUCAAAUUAUUUUGCUUGCAAUUUAAUAGCGAAUAAAUGCUUUUGAUUUGAUAAAGUGUUGAUAGAUUUAUUAUAUACAGUGCUUAAAUAUUUAUAUUUUAUAAUAGCAUAUUAAUCAAUGAUUUUUAUGUUCAUUAUAUGCACUUGUAUGAUUAACAAUGCGAAAGAUUCAGGAUACCUUCGGGACCCGUCUUGAAACACGGACCAAGGAGUCUAACGGUAUGAAGGUUGUGGUUGUGAUAUAAUGUGCCCAGUGGGCCACUUUUGGUAAGCAGAACUGGCGCUGUGGGAUGAACCAAACGUAAUGUUACGGUGCCCAAAUUAACAACUCAUGCAGAUACCAUGAAAGGCGUUGGUUGCUUAAAACAGCAGGACGGUGGACAUGGAAGUCGUAAUCCGCUAAGGAGUGUGUAAAAAGUGGAGAAGGGUUUCGUGUGAACAGUGGUUGAUCACGAGUUAGUCGGUCCUAAGUUUAAGGCGAAAGCCGAAAAUUUUCAAGUUAUAAUGAAAAUAAUUAAACACUUGAAUAAUUUUGAACGAAAGGGAAUACGGUUCCAAUUCCGUAACCUGUUGAGUAUCCGUUUGUUAUUAAAUAUGGGCCUUGUGCUCAUCCUGGCAACAGGAACGACCAUAAAGAAGCCGUCGAGAGGUAUCGGAAGAGUUUUCUUUUCUGUUUUAUAGUCGUACUACCAUGGAAGUCUUUCGAAGAGAGAUAUGGUAGAUGGACUAGAAGAGCAUGACAUUUACUGUUGUGUCGAUAUUUUCUCCUCGGACCUUGAAAAUUUAUGGUGGGGUCACGCAAACUUCUCAACAGGCCGUACCAAUAUCCGCAGCUGGUCUCCAAGGUGAAGAGUCUCUAGUCGAUAGAAUAAUGUAGGUAAGGGAAGUCGA
rnacentral:rRNA from 1 species